UAGGGAAUCUUCCACAAUGGACGAAAGUCUGAUGGAGCAACGCCGCGUGAGUGAAGAAGGGUUUCGGCUCGUAAAACUCUGUUGUUAAAGAAGAACAUAUCUGAGAGUAACUGUUCAGGUAUUGACGGUAUUUAACCAGAAAGCCACGACUAACUACGUGCCUG
rnacentral:rRNA from 1 species